AAACCCACAACCUCAUGGUUCCUAGUCGGAUUCGUUAACCACUGCGCCACAACGGGAACUCCAGUAUUAAGGUUUUUAACACAACAUUCUUCAUGACAUUUUUAUAUUUAAAGACAACAAAACAACUGAACGCUGUUACCUGCCUACAUGUCUUCACCAUGAAAAACACUUGUGAAGGUCUGAUUAGAAUUGGAGUUGGUCACCUGAAGGGGUGGGGCUCAUUGAAAUGCUGUAUUGUAGGAGAAGAUUGGGUUGCGGUGUUACAAUACAUUCUUCAUGACAAUAAACAAUAGAUAGAUACCAGAAAUAGCAGGCAGGAGUUGUGCUUAAAGACACAGGUAACUGGACACAUUUCCGAUGACUCUCUCUCUGGGUUGGAGUGAACUGUGAGAGGGCCUGUCUACUCCUUUAAAGAGAAUUUGAAUUAGGAUUUUAAUAAAAAAAGUCCAACUCAUAUUGGUACCGCUCCUCCUAAGUCAGUCUCCUACAAAGGUCUGUCUGUCUGGCGUCAUUUAGGCCAACAGAAGGGACUGAGUUUAAUUCAGAAGCAAAGGAAAGCUUUAUUUUUUGGUCAGAGAAUGGAGAGGUGUGAGAUCCUGCCCUAGAGCCCUCGGUCCCCCCUCCCCCAGGCCGUGGGCUUGGCGGCUUUAUUGGGAUCUAGUCUGCAGAGGGGGAGGGGCGGAGUGCUCACAGGUGGACUGCUGCGCUGGGGCGGGGCAUCUCAGCACGAGGCCUGCGCCCGCCAUCUUGAAUCAAGCGGUUGUGCUGUGCAGAGCUUCCGCGGGCGGUUGGCUGAGCUGAGGUCCCCGUUUCUUAUAAGGUACUCUGGUCAGAAGUGUCGGGGGUUCGAGGCCUCGCUGCAUGUGGUACCCUAUGAACAAGUGAAACUAGACUGAGCGCAAAGGAAAAAAAAAAAGUGAGAGAUCUAAAACUGGAGGGAGUUUGAAUCAGCAAGCAGAUGUGAAAAAACAGAAAGAUCUUUCUUGCUGUUCAUAAAAUCAUAUAGCCAAGGGAAAGAAAGGUCUCCAGCUGGAAAGGAAGGGUGCUUAAAGAACUUUAGUUGAAGCAUCUCAGUUAAGGAGCCCCAUCCACUUGAUUUAGAUGAUUCCCAUGGACUUUGAGCUGUUGCUAUGAUGGAGUGAGACUUGAUAGUCUUGAUGGUGGGGAUGGAGGUGGUUUGUAUGUUUAAGAGAUGUGAAUUAUAGUGGCCAGAGGGCGGACUUUAGCAGACUGUAUUUCACAUGUUGACAGCAAAAAUAAAAUCACCUAUCUUUUA